GACGAACGCUGGCGGCGUGCUUAACACAUGCAAGUCGAACGGAAAGGCCCUGCUUUUUUGGGAUGCUCGAGUGGCGAACGGGUGAGUAACCCGUGAGUAACCUGCCCUUGACUUUGGGUUAACUUCAGGAAACUGGGGCUAAUACCCGAUAGGAGCUCCUGCUGCAUGGUGGGGGUUGGAAAGUUUCGGCGGUUGGGGAUGGACUCGCGGCUUAUCAGCUUGUUGGUGGGGUAGUGGCUUACCAAGGCUUUGACGGGUAGCCGGCCUGAGAGGGUGACCGGCCACAUUGGGACUGAGAUACGGCCCAGACUCCUACGGGAGGCAGCAGUGGGGAAUAUUGCACAAUGGGCGGAAGCCUGAUGCAGCAACGCCGCGUGCGGGAUGACGGCCUUCGGGUUGUAAACCGCUUUCGCCUGUGACGAAGCGUGAGUGACGGUAAUGGGUAAAGAAGCACCGGCUAACUACGUG
rnacentral:rRNA from 1 species